rnacentral:rRNA from 1 species
AUUGAACGCUGGCGGCAGGCCUAACACAUGCAAGUCGAGCGGAGCGGCGGACGGGUGAGUAAUGCCUAGGAAUCUGCCUGGUAGUGGGGGACAACGUCGGGAAACGGGCGCUAAUACCGCAUACUAGCAGAUGUGCCUAGGUGGGAUUAGCUAGUUGGUGGGGUAAAGGCCUACCAAGGCGACGAUCCGUAACUGGUCUGAGAGGGUGAUCAGUCACACUGGAACUGAGACACGGUCCAGACGCCUACGGGAGGUAGCAGUGGGGAAUAUUGGGCAAUGGGCGAAAGCCUGAUCCGGCCAUGCCGCGUGUGUGAAGAAGGGCUUCGGAUUGUAAAGCUCGUUAAGUUGGGAGGCGUUACCAACAGAAUAAGCACCGGCUAACUUCGUGCCAGCAGCCGCGGUAAUAC